rnacentral:rRNA from 1 species
GAUGCUAAACAGCUAGCCUACCCCCAAAAACAACAAAUCAAAUAUUAAUAACCCCUAAAACACUAACUUAAAAUCAACAAAUCAUUUUACCUCCUAAGUAUCUGCGACGGAAAUGGAUCUAAGAGCGACAGAGAAAGUACCGCAAGGGAACGCUGAAAGAGAAAUGAAACAAACCAGAUAAAGCCCCAGAAAGCAGAGAUUAACCCUCGUACCUUUUGCAUCAUGAUUUAGCCAGUGACCUCCAAGCAAAGAGCACUUUAGUUUGAUGACCCGAAACUAGCAUGAGCUACUCCAAGGCAGCCUAUAAGGGCAAACCCGUCUCUGUGGCAAAAGAGUGGGAAGAACUUUGAGUAGAGGUGACAGACCUACCGAAUCUAGUUAUAGCUGGUUGCCUGAGAAUUGGAUAGCAGUUCAGCCUCACAAAUUCUCUAUUAACAUAUGCUACCCCUCCUAAAUAUAAACAGAAUUUGCGAGAGUUAAUCAAAGGAGGUUCAGCUCCUUUGAUAUAAGAUACAACUUUUUUCAGCUGGGUAAAGAUCAUA